GAUGAACGCUGGCGGCGUGCCUAAUACAUGCAAGUCGAGCGAACAGACGAGGAGCUUGCUCCUCUGACGUUAGCGGCGGACGGGUGAGUAACACGUGGAUAACCUACCUAUAAGACUGGGAUAACUUCGGGAAACCGGAGCUAAUACCGGAUAAUAUAUUGAACCGCAUGGUUCAAUAGUGAAAGACGGUUUUGCUGUCACUUAUAGAUGGAUCCGCGCCGCAUUAGCUAGUUGGUAAGGUAACGGCUUACCAAGGCGACGAUGCGUAGCCGACCUGAGAGGGUGAUCGGCCACACUGGAACGGAGACACGGUCCAGACUCCUACGGGAGGCAGCAGUAGGGAAUCUUCCGCAAUGGGCGAAGGCCUGACGGAGCAACGCCGCGUGAGGGAUGAAGGUCUUCGGAUCGUAAAACUCUGUUAUUAGGAAAGAACAAAUGUGUAAGUAACUAUGCACGUCUUGACGGUACCUAAUCAGAAAGCCACGGCUAACUACGUG
rnacentral:rRNA from 1 species